rnacentral:snRNA from 1 species
GCUUUCGCUUUGGUAUCACAUCUACUAAAAUUAGAGAGACACAGAAAAGCUUAGCACACUCUGGUGCAAGGACAAACAUAAAUGCAUGAAGUGUUCCAUAUUUUU